CCCACGGCGCCCCUCGCGCUACGACAGCCCGGAGGGCCAAAACACAGGCGCCCGCGUCCGCGCCCCGCGCCUCACCGCAAAGUAUCCCAGCCCCAGCCCCGUGACCAGCGAGGGCAAUGGUCUGGCCGUCCGGAAGUAGGCGGUAGCAUCCCUUGCGGCCUUCGAGUUCGCCAGCACCAUCGUGAAAGACCCAGGCGCUCAGUCCUCAGGAGAUGGCCAUGACAACAUAGAAACACAACAUGGAAGAAGAAAAGGAAAAGCACGCCAUAAAUUUACACCUGAGGAACUGCACAUACUGAAUCAAUCAUUUGCAGAGAGUCCUUAUCCCGACUAUACGACCAAGGAGGAACUGGUCAAAAAACUCCAUUGUUCGUUUUACACAAUCGAGAACUGGUUCCAAAAUAAAAGAGCCAGACUACCAGCCAAGAAGAGACGCAAAGUGCUUGAAGCCAGGAUGCCAUAUGCACUCCCUGUCCAAGGUCCCCCAGGUGUAAGCCUGCAGAAUUCCCAGGAGUGGUCU